GUAGACCAGUGAGGGUGAAUAAAUCGCAUAUGAAGUCCAUAUAUUUGUCAUUUAGCAGCAGAAUCGGCACAAACUAGGACAGGUGGCAACAGCUCCCUGAUGAGGUAGGAGAAAGUUCAGAGAAAAAGUUUGGCCAUUGGUAGCCUGAGCCAGCUGGUGUCCCCGCAGUCUCCUGCCAUGCUGCUGGUUGUGCAGGAGAACCGAAACCCCGAUGGCCAGUACGGCUUCUCGUGUUGCUACAGGGAAGGCAGCGGACUACUGGUGGUCAAGGUGGAAAACUGCCAACUCUGUGUUGACGACAGGCUGGUGGAGGUGAAUGGUGUGCCGGUGGUUAACUCUACACAGGAAGAGCUGACCACCAUCUUACUGGAGGGACCCAGCGCCAAUAUUGUUGUCCUUCGCCAGCCCCCGCUCCCCCCCACCUCCGUAGUCCUGCAGCGCAUCAUCACCUCUGAUCCCGAGCAACAGCUCUCUCUUGCCGACUUAGACCGGGGUGUGGUUCCAGUUGAAACAACUCCUCGACGGAAGGUGGUGGCCAUCUGAUGAUACGACAGAGAGAGAAAAAGACCAGCGCAGAGACUUGAGGGUUAAUGAUAUCUGACUGUGGAGCCAUGCAGCGAAAUGCCCUCUUUUGUUAGUUAUUUAACUCUAAAUAUAAAUAUAUGUUAUUGAAAAUGUCAAUGUGUUGAAAUGAUAGACGUUUAGUUAGGAACAUCCAAUAGUAAUAUAGCUGUGUUGUUAUGUGACGUUUUCCUCGACUAAGCCUCAACACAUGUACACAGCGUUGUGCUUGGCAGAUAGAACAGUUAUAUUUGAUCCAUAUUGUUGCAAUGUAUACGGAGAACCAUGCCUGUGAAAAAAACUUAUUUCCAGAAAAACACAUGAAACCGAACCACAUUGACUUCUUUCUAUUUGCAUCUCCUCUUGUGCUACAUCAUAUUUUGUGCCAUGAGGGAAAAUGAAUAGUACAGGAAAGACAAGGAGGCAGAGCCUGAUAAGGACAAUGCAUGCUUCAUCUUGUACAACUAUAAUUGAAAAUAUGUGAAUCCUGUCUAUAGUUACUGUAACAUAUCGUGUAAAGAUACAUCCAAUAGCUUUGUAUCCUGUUUCUCUUAUUAGAAUAGAGACUUGUACGGCUACAACAGUAUUCGGAGCAAAAACAUGAGUCACGUCCCUUUUUUUGGAUGUUGUAAUGUAAUCCACUGUGCUGCAGGAAUAAACCCUUGGGCCCGGAAAUGCCUCAUUUCUCAGCCUUGUUCUCCCUCGUUAAGUGGCAGUGGAUCAUAGUCUGACAGAGAGAAAGCACAAACACCACCAAACCCCUGACCCAGACCCCGGGGGUCCAAAGAGCCUGAGAGGAG
ensembl:lncRNA